GCUGGCGACCGGCGCACGGGUGAGUAACACGUAUCCAACCUACCCUUUACCUUCGGGGAGUAGCCUUUCGUAAAGAAAGAAUUAAUACCCGACUAGCAUAAUGAUUCCGCAUGGUUUCAUUAUUAAAGGAUUCCGGUAAAGGAUGGGGAUGCGUUCCAUUAGGUUGUUGGUGAGGUAACGGCUCACCAAGCCUUCGAUGGAUAGGGGUUCUGAGAGGAAGGUCCCCCACAUUGGAACUGAGACACGGUCCAAACUCCUACGGGAGGCAGCAUG
rnacentral:rRNA from 1 species